rnacentral:rRNA from 1 species
CCUUAGAGUUUGAUCCUGGCUCAGAACGAACGCUGGCGGCGUGCUUAACACAUGCAAGUCGAACGUGAUUGAGAGCUUGCUCUCAUGAAAGUGGCGCACGGGUGAGUAACACGUGGAUAAUCUGCCUGGCGAUUCGGGAUAACACUUCGAAAGGGGUGCUAAUACCGGAUAAGCCCACGGACUCUUAGGGGUUUGCGGGAAAAGGGGGCCUCUGUAUAUGCUCCUGUCGCUAGAUGAGUC